rnacentral:rRNA from 1 species
AACUUUAAGUACUGAUCGCACGGUCUCGUACCGGCGACGCAUCUUUCAAUAGUCUGACUUAUCAACUGUCGAUGGUAGGUUCUGCGCCUACCAUGGUUGUAACGGGUAACGGGGGAAGUCAGGGUUCGGAUUCCGGAGAGGGAGCCUGAGAAACGGCUACCACAUCCAAGGAAGGCAGCAGGCGCGCAAAUUACCCACUCCCGGCACGGGGAGGUAGUGACGAAAAAUAACGAUACGGGACUCAUCCGAGGCCCCGUAAUCGGAAUGAGUACACUCUAAACCCUUUAACGAGGAUCAAUUGGAGGGCAAGUCUGGUGCCAGCAGCCGCGGUAAUUCCAGCUCCAAUAGCGUAUAUUAAAGUUGUUGCGGUUAAAAAGCUCGUAGUCGAAUUUGUGUCUCGCGCCGCCGGUUCAUCGUUCGCGGUGUCAACUGGCGUGCCGNGAGACGUCCUGCCGGCGGGCUUAGCU